AGAGUUUGAUCCUGGCUCAGAGCGAACGCUGGCGGCAGGCCUAACACAUGCAAGUCGAACGGGCCCCUUCGGGGGUCAGUGGCAGACGGGUGAGUAACACGUGGGAACGUGCCCUUCAGUUCGGAACAACCCAGGGAAACUUGGGCUAAUACCGGAUACGCCCUUUGGGGAAAGAUUGAUCGCUGAAGGAUCGGCCCGCGUCUGAUUAGCUAGUUGGUAGGGUAACGGCCUACCAAGGCGACGAUCAGUAGCUGGUCUGAGAGGAUGAUCAGCCACACUGGGACUGAGACACGGCCCAGACUCCUACGGGAGGCAGCAGUGGGGAAUAUUGGACAAUGGGCGCAAGCCUGAUCCAGCCAUGCCGCGUGAGUGAUGAAGGCCCUAGGGUUGUAAAGCUCUUUCGGCGGGGACGAUAAUGACGGUACCCGCAGAAGAAGCCCCGGCUAACUUCGUGCCAGCAGCCGCGGUAAUACGAAGGGGGCUAGCGUUGCUCGGAAUCGCUGGGCGUAAAGGGCGCGUAGGCGGAUCUUUAAGUCGGGGGUGAAAGCCCAGGGCUCAACCCUGGAAUUGCCUUCGAUACUGGAGAUCUUGAGACCGGAAGAGGUAAGUGGAACUGCGAGUGUAGAGGUGAAAUUCGUAGAUAUUCGCAAGAACACCAGUGGCGAAGGCGGCUUACUGGUCCGGUUCUGACGCUGAGGCGCGAAAGCGUGGGGAGCAAACAGGAUUAGAUACCCUAGUAGUCC
rnacentral:rRNA from 1 species